UCCCUUGUGGCUCAGUUGGUAAAGAAUCUGCCUGCAAUGCAGGAGACCUGGGUUUGAUCCCUGGGUUGGAAA
rnacentral:tRNA from 1 species